GUUUCUCAUUGGUUGUUAUUGUCAGUGGAUGAAAUAUAAAGAGUUCAGUCGUGAAACAAUCUCCCGCACGCGCUCGUUUCCUCACGCGCACGAGAGAUCGUUCAAAAACAAAUAUGUUCACUGAAGGUGGAAUGUAUUGCCCUACCGAGACGGCAAUGUGCCGCUGGCUCGGAGGAGCAAACAUUUGAAUUUCGUAAUGAUCCAACCGCAGGUUCACCUACGGUUA
rnacentral:misc_RNA from 1 species